rnacentral:rRNA from 1 species
UACGUAGGGUGCGAGCGUUUAAUCGGAAUUACUGGGCGUAAAGCGUGCGCAGGCGGUUUUGUAAGCCAGGUGUGAAAUCCCCGGGCUCAACCUGGGAAUGGCAUUUGGGACUGCAAGGCUGGAGUGCGGCAGAGGAGACUGGAAUUCCUGGUGUAGCAGUGAAAUGCGUAGAUAUCAGGAGGAACACCGAUGGCGAAGGCAGGUCUCUGGGCUGACACUGACGCUCAUGCACGAAAGCGUGGGGAGCGAAACAAGGA